rfam:Triticum aestivum genome assembly, contig: Triticum_aestivum_CS42_TGACv1_scaffold_160724_2DL
GAUGUACUCCCUCCGUCCGAAAAUACUUGUCAUACAAAUGGAUGUAUCUAGACAUAUUUUAGUUAUAGAUAUAUCCAUUUUCAUCCAUUUCUGCAACAAGUAAUUCCGGACGGAGGGAGUAGUAA